AAACAAUAAUGAUGCUUGGGUCCCACCUGGAGAUUCUGAUACGGUUGGUCUGGCAGCGGGGCCUAGGAGUUGGGAGUAUUAAAAUCUCAGGUGAUCUUAAUGCAGUCAAGAAGACCCACUCCCACGGGUUAGAUUGUUUGCUUAAUUUGCAUCCUAUCAGGAGGCAGGUAAUGUCACACUGAUCCAUUGUUUGUGAUGCUAAACUCAGUCACUGGAUUGAGGUGGUCACCACCAGACCUCUCCAUCACAAAGGAGGCCUCUCCAUGGCUCUCCUUUGUAAAGGUUCAAGAACUUCCAUACCCAGUGCCAUCCACGUUCUCUUGGCUUCCGCUCUGUGUAGAAAUAGGACUCUCUGAGUGGUGUCAUUUGUGCCAAGAAUCGAGGAGCCUUCAAGAAAGAGGUGGUUGUCAGCUAUGUCAAGUGCUGGGUGGAGAUUGACAAAGGUGACUCUCACAUAUGAUGAAG
rnacentral:lncRNA from 1 species